rnacentral:rRNA from 1 species
GCGAGAAGUCCACUGAACCUUAUCAUUUAGAGGAAGGAGAAGUCCUAACAAGGUUUCCGUAGGUGAACCUGCGGAAGGAUCAUUGUCGAAUCCUAUGGGAAAAACGACCAGAGAA